rnacentral:rRNA from 1 species
GAUGAACGCUGGCGGUAGGCUUUACACAUGCAAGUCGAGCGAUGAAAGCUCUCUAGCAAUAGAGAGACGGAUUAGCGGCAAACGGGUGAGUAACACGUAGGAACUUCCCUUUAGUUUGGGAUAGCUAGCUGAAAAGUUAGGUAAUACCAAAUGUGACCGAAAGGUUAAAGGAGCAAUUCGCUAAAGGCAAGGCCUGCGUCCCAUCAGCUAGUUGGUAAGGUAAUGGCUUACCAAGGCUAAGACGGGUAGCUGGUCUGAGAGGACGAUCAGCCACACUGGGACUGAGACACGGCCCAGACACCUACGGGUGGCAGCAGUGGGGAAUUUUCGGCAAUGGGGGAAACCCUGACCGAGCCAUACCGCGUGCAGGAUGAAGGCUUUCGGGUUGUAAACUGCUGUGGAGAAUUACUAACACAAUGAAGGAUUCUCUAGAAAGAGGUUGCUAACUCUG